UACUUAUCAUACUUAAGCCUCUUGUGCAUAUGCGACAUUUCCAAUUAAACCAGUUUAAAAAAUAUUUAAAAACUUCUCCGCCGAAUCGUAGGAUUCGUAGGUCUGGUGAACUUUAUAUGAAUAUCAUGCAUUUCUAUACGAUUGUCAUUUUCCUCUGUACGUGUCUCCUCUCUGUCCAUUGCAAUAGUUGGUGGAUGUGGGGCAAAAAAGGAACUGACAAUUCUCGUCCAAGGAGAGUCUCCAAAUCACUUGCAACAUACAUCCAUAGAAGUAUAACGAUCACGGAGGGAGAUCCGGCCAUUCUACCAUGUGAAGCACACGACGAGGGAAAUAAAUACCGGGUAAGUUCACUUUGGUUACUUA